UCCUGCCUCAGCCUCCCGAGUAGCCAGGACUACAGGCACCUGUCACCACACCUGACUAAUUUUUUUGUAUUUUUAGUAGAGAUGGGGUUUCACCAUGUUGGUCAGGCUGGUCUCAAACUCCUGACCUCAUGAUCCGCCCGCCUUGGCCUCUCAAUAUUUUCUUGUAGUAGUUUCAUAGUUUGAGGUCUUAAAUUUAAGUGUUUAAUCUAUUUAGAUUUGACUUUUGUAUAAUGUGGGAGAUAGGGGUCUAGUUUCAUUUUUCUGUAUGUGGAUAUCCAGUUUUCCCAGCACCAUUUAUUGAAGAGACUGUCCUUUCCGCAAUGUAUGUUUUUGGUACCUUCAUUGAAAAUGAAUUUGCUGUAGAUGUAUGGAUUUAUUUUUGGAUUCUUUGUUUUAUUCCAUUGGUCUAUAUGUCUGUUUUGAUGCUGUUACUGUGCCAUUUUGGUAACUAUAGCUCUAUAGUAUAAUUUAAAGUCAGUUUGAAGUAUACUAUAGAGUUAUAGUUUUACUAUAAUUGUACUGUAGAGCUCCAGUUUUGUUCUUUUUCUUAGGAUAGCUUUGGCUAUUCUGGGUCUUUUGUAGUUGCAUAUAAAUUUUAGGACUUUUUUUUCUAUUUCUGUGAAGAAUGUCAUUGGUAUUUUGGUAGGAAUUGCAUUAAAUCUCUAGAUUGCUUUGCAUAGUAUGGACAUCUUAACAAUAUUGAUUCUCCUAAUCCAUGAACAUGGAAUAUCUUUUAAUUUUUUUGGUGUCCUCUUCAAUUUCUUGGAUCAGUGUGUUAUAGUUUUCAUUGUAGAGAUUUUUCACUUUAUUGGUUAAUUCCUAGGUAUUUUAUUUUAUUUGUAGCUACUGUAAAUGUCAUUACUUUAUUGAUUUCUUUUCAGAUCGUUCACUGCUGGCAUAUAGAAAUGUUGCUGACUUUUGUAUGUUGAUUUUGUGUCCUGCAUCUUUAUUGAAUUUAUCAGCUUUAAUAGUUUUUUUGUGGAGUUUUUAUGUUUUUCCAAAUACAAGAUCAUAUCAUCUGCAAACAAGGAUAAUUUGACUUCUUCCUUUCCAAUUUGGAUACCCUUUAUUUCUUUUGUCUGAUUGCUCUAGCUAGGACUUUCCAAUACUAUGUUGAAUAACAGUAGUGACAGUGGACAUCCUUGUCGUGUUCCAAAUCUUACGGAAAAAGCUUUCAGUUUUUCCCCAUUCAGUAUAUUAGUUGUGGGUCUGUCAUAUGUGGCUUUUGUUAUUUUGAGGUUUGUUCCUUCUAUACCCAAUUUUUUGAGGGUGUUUAUCACGAAGAAAUGUUGAAAUUUAUAAAAUGAUUACAUUGCUUUUGUCCUUCAUUUUCUUGACAUAAUGUAUCACAUUGAUUGAUUUGCAUAUACUGAACCAUCUUUGCAUCCCCGGGAUAAAUCUCACGGGGUCAUAAUGAAUGAUCUUUUAAAUGUGUUGCUGAAUUUAGUUUGCUAGUAUUUUGUUGAGGAUGUUUGCAUUAAUAUUCAUCAGGAAUAUUGGGCCCUACUUUUCUUUUUUGCUAUGUCUUUGUCUGGUUUUGCUAUCAGGAUCAUACUGGCCUCAGAAUGAGUUUGGAAGUAUUCCCUCUUCCCCUGUUUUUUGGAAUAGUUUGAGUAGGAUUGUUAUUAGUUCAUUAAAUGGUUGGUAGAAUUCAGCAGUGAAGUCUUCAGAUCUUGGGCUUUUCUUUGUCGGGAGACAUUUUAUUAUGGCAUUGAUCUCGUUACUUGUUAUUGGUCUAUUCAGGUUUUGGAUUUCUUCAUGGUUCAAUCUUGGUAAGUUGUAUGUGUCUAUGAAUUUAUCCAUUUCUUCUAGAUUUUCCAAUUUAUUGGUGAAUUGUUGCUAAUAGUAACCACUAAUGAUCCCUUGAAUUUCUUUCUUUCUUUUUUUUUUUUUUUAAUUGAUCAUUCUUGGGUGUUUCUCGCAGAGGGGGAUUUGGCAGGGUCAUA
rnacentral:lncRNA from 1 species